rnacentral:rRNA from 1 species
CGCGUAGGCGGUUAUUUAAGUCGGAUGUGAAAGCCCUGGGCUUAACCUGGGAACUGCAUUCGAUACUGGCUGACUAGAGUACGAGAGAGGGAGGUAGAAUUCCACGUGUAGCGGUGAAAUGCGUAGAUAUGUGGAGGAAUACCAGUGGCGAAGGCGGCCUCCUGGCUCGAUACUGACGCUGAGGUGCGAAAGCGUGGGGAGCAAACA